UGAAGUAGUUUUACAGCUGUUGCCAAGGUUUUCUCUCUUUUUCUACAUCUGGUUGACUCAUUUCUGUUUCCCUUUGUCUUUUUUUUUUUUUUUUUUUUGCUUGUAUUUUUGUUUUUGCUUUGCUUUUGUCUUUUCUCUUUUGUGCAAAUCUAAGCUCUUAGAAUUAGGAAAGAGAUGUUGGAUUAAAUUCAAGGCUAUUUUAUGAUUUUUCAAGAGAGCAAUGUCUAAGGGCUCCUUUUCAUGCAACAGAAUACUACAGACAAUGUAAAGGAAAAUCCUCAGAAGAAGCAUGGCUCCUCCCCUGAACACUCUAAGCUAGAGUUUUGCACACCAGUCUUUAGCUUCUCCUUAUCUUAUACAUCAGUAAGUUCAUCUCAUUAUGCACAACCAGGAAAAAAAGAAUAUGAUGAAUUUGAGAUUCUCAUUGAGAAUUAAUCAUCUGAUACUUCCCAUAAAUUCAGUGCCAUCUCCUGAGUUCCUAGUAGCGCAGUACAAGACAAGAUAAAUUACCAGUGACUUUAGGUAAAUUACAGAGAUUUACCAAUCUUAGACACAAAGCUGAAACUUGUGACAUUUGCAAAAUGUUCACCAGGCAACAAGAAACAACUCUCAAUUAAGGUGGAAGAAAUCAGCAACCAUGAACUCACACAGAAGGCCUUGUUUCAUAUGUUUUUAAAAACAACUUCCUUGUCUAGAAUGUUUUUGUACAGGGCCAAGAAACUGAAAGCUGAGGAUACAGGCUCUCACACACAAACACAUGCAAAUACACACAGUUGCAAGCACGCACCCCUCCCUUAUAUCAUUUUGCAGGCAGCGCUGCUCACAGGCUUGCAGCUUUAUCUAGCUAAGCAGCAAAUGGCAAAAGGGCUCAAAGAAAAGACUGCAGAGAGGGCUUGAUCCUAAGGACAGAGACAGAUGCAAACCAAUGCACAGGCACCAGAACUCUUCCAUUUCUGGGUAAAGGAAAAGGUAAAAUAAAUUCCAACAAUGAGCAAUGUAAUCAGUUGUCUUUAUGGUAUAAAUAUGGAGUCCUCAAAGGGACCUUCAUUCAGUAAGAUCUGGUUUCUGUAGAGUUCUCUCCCAGCGUUGGUUAUUUCACCAUGAACAGUUUGUGAGUCCUAUUUGUGACCCAGGUCCUUGUCUGUAAAGCCCAAGAUUUCAUAUUGGGAACAAAUGAGAUGGGCAAGUGAUUGAUAUUUGUAAUGUAUAAAGAACUGUUAAAUAAAAAGAUGAACAUCUAACAGAAAAAGGGGUGAAUGGCAUUGAAGCGGCUAUGUUGUCUGGGGUAUAUGCCCUGGGAUCAUUGUUGCCUGCCAGGAAAAUUUAGGACACGGACACACAGGAAGAGUUUAGGAGUGGAGGUUUAAUAGGCAGAAGAGAAGAGAAGGAGAUAGAGAAAGGGAUCUCCAAGUGGAAAGGACCAGAUAGUGGCAGAUGCACCAGAUUUUAUAGUCGAGCAUGAGGAGGUGGUGUCUGAUUUACAUAGGGCUGACAGAUUGUCUCCAUCAGGUAUGACGUUUACAUAGCAUGCGAGGAAGGCUGGUCUCCCCACCCUAAUCUUAUUAUGCAAAUGGACUUUCCAGUUGAUCCGGGCCAUCUUGUCUGCUCCUUACAGUACAAGUGACUGACAAAGGGAAGGGAAGAUGGAGCUGCCAUCUACAACAUAUCUAGUCCUUAGUUCCUGCUGGCAUUCACCAUGCAAGCUGUCAGCUUGCUUGUCUAUGUCUGCAGAUUGACUUUACAGGCUGCUCUUUGUUAGACAAUGAUUUGGGGCUGCUUUUCAUUAAAAAGAAAAGCCUUGGCAGGGCGCAGUGGCUCACGCCUGUAAUCCCAGCACUUUGGGAGGCCGAGAUGGGCGGAUCACGAGGUCAGCAGAUCAAGACCAUCCUGGCUAACACGGUGAAACCCCG
rnacentral:lncRNA from 1 species